rnacentral:tRNA from 1 species
GCCGGCAUAGCUCAGCGGUAGAGCGUCUGCCUUGUAAGCAGGGGGUCGGGGGUUCAAUUCCCUCUGCCGGCACCA